GAUGAACGCUGACAGAAUGCUUAACACAUGCAAGUCGAACGGGAAGAGGUGCUUGCACCAUGGCAACCAUGGCGGACGGGUGAGUAACGCGUAAGGGACUUACCUGCUGGACUGGGGUAACAGGGGGCAACUCCUGACAAGCCCGGAUACUGUCAUGGAGCUGCAUGGCUUUAUGAUGAAAGGAGACGCCUGCGGAGAGCCUGGCGUCCUAUUAGCUAUUUGGUGAGGUACUGGCUCACCAAGGCGGAGAUAGGUAGCCGGCCUGAGAGGGUGGACGGCCACAAGGGGACUGAGAGACAGCCCUGACGCCUAUGGGAGGCAGCGGGGGAGAAUAUUGGACAAAGGGGGCAACGCUGAUCCAGCAAUUCGGUGUGCACGAAGAAGGUUUUCGGAUAGAAAAGUGCUUGCAGAAGGGAAGAAGUAAGUGACGGUACCUGCAGAAGAAGCGACGGCUAAAUACGUG
rnacentral:rRNA from 1 species